GAUGAACGCUAGCGACAGGCUUAACACAUGCAAGUCGAGGGGCAGCAUAGAAGUAGCAAUACUUUGGUGGCGACCGGCGCACGGGUGAGUAACGCGUAUGCAACCUACCUAUCAGAGGGGAAUAACCCGGCGAAAGUCGGACUAAUACCGCAUAAAACAGGGGCACCGCAUGGUGAUAUUUGUUAAAGAAAUUCGCUGAUAGAUGGGCAUGCGUUCCAUUAGGUAGUUGGUGAGGUAACGGCUCACCAAGCCGACGAUGGAUAGGGGAACUGAGAGGUUGGUCCCCCACACUGGUACUGAGACACGGACCAGACUCCUACGGGAGGCAGCAGUGAGGAAUAUUGGUCAAUGGGCGAGAGCCUGAACCAGCCAAGUCGCGUGAAGGAAGAAGGAUCUAUGGUUCGUAAACUUCUUUUGCAGGGGAAUAAAGUGCGGGACGUGUCCUGUUUUGUAUGUACCCUGAGAAUAAGGAUCGGCUAACUCCGUGCCAGCCAGCCGCGGU
rnacentral:rRNA from 1 species